ACGGUAAAUAAGAUGAAUCCACACAUCGCAUUCCUCUCGUCCGCUAGCUCUUCCAUUAGCAUUUGCCUCAUACCAUCUACCAGCCCUGAUCCCUUUCCAAUCUUCUAUCUUCAGCACAUGCUUUGUUUACAAUGUGGUAGUCAUAUCAUAUGUGAACCCCCAUCGCCUAAAAGCUACCGCUCGAAUACAUGUAUGCAAGUCCUACUCUUUCUACCCUUCUAACCCAAAUGAAAGUAGAUUUAGUGGACUAGACUCAAAACGAAAGGCGCACAGUUUAAAAAUCUAGCUACAUUUCUAAGGCCCUC
rnacentral:lncRNA from 1 species